GCCCACGUAGCUCAAUUGGUAGAGCAACGCUUUCGUAAAGCGUAGGUUGUCGGUUCGAUUCUGACCGUGGGCU
rnacentral:tRNA from 2 species